rnacentral:rRNA from 1 species
UACGUAGGGUGCAAGCGUUGUCCGGAAUUAUUGGGCGUAAAGAGCUCGUAGGCGGUUUGUCGCGUCGAAUGUGAAAACCCGGGGCUCAACCCCGGGCCUGCAUUCGAUACGGGCAGACUAGAGUGCGGUAGGGGAGAUUGGAAUUCCUGGUGUAGCGGUGGAAUGCGCAGAUAUCAGGAGGAACACCGAUGGCGAAGGCAGAUCUCUGGGCCGUAACUGACGCUGAGGAGCGAAAGCAUGGGGAGCGAACAGG